UACGUAGGGUGCGAGCGUUGUCCGGAAUUACUGGGCGUAAAGAGCUCGUAGGUGGUUUGUCGCGUUGUUCGUGAAAACUCACAGCUCAACUGUGGGCGUGCGGGCGAUACGGGCAGACUGGAGUACUGCAGGGGAGACUGGAAUUCCUGGUGUAGCGGUGGAAUGCGCAGAUAUCAGGAGGAACACCAGUGGCGAAAGCGGCUUCCUGGUCCAGCACCGACGUUCAGGCACGAAAGCGUGGGGAGCAAACAGG
rnacentral:rRNA from 1 species